rfam:Desulfobulbus sp. Tol-SR contig_522, whole genome shotgun sequence.
GAAGCCCGUCCCGGAAGGUCUAGCCAACCACCGGGUAGUGAGUCCUUGGACCGUAGCGGGUAACUGAUGCGGUUAAGCGUAGGAUAGCCAGACGACAGGCCGUAAGCCGUAAGGUUGAAGUGAUUGAGCCCCGAAAUGCUCGAGUCGGGAAGGAUGACGUGGUUGCAAGCACGGAAAUCAACAUGGAGCCGGCGAUAGUGGCGAGCCGGAUUUCGCUUCCUCGGGGUCUGAGAGCA